AUACAGAGGGUGCAAGCGUUAAUCGGAAUUACUGGGCGUAAAGCGCGCGCAGGCGGGUUGGCAAGUCAGAUGUGAAAUCCUACAGCUUAACUGUAGAACUGCAUUUGAAACUGCUAACCUAGAGUAUGGGAGGGGGAGAUGGAAUUAGUGGUGUAGGGGUAAAAUCCGUAGAUAUCACUAGGAAUACCGAAAGCGAAGGCGAUCUCCUGGAACAUAACUGACGCUAAGGCGUGAAAGCGUGGGGAGCAAACAGGAUUAGAUACCCUAGUAGUCC
rnacentral:rRNA from 1 species